CCUAAUAUGACAGAUAAUUGUAAUAAAUUUAAACUUUAUAAAUAAAAUAUUUUAUAUAUUUUUAUUAGGA
rnacentral:tRNA from 1 species